UAAUGGAGGUGAAGUUGGGGAAAGGAAAGUGUUUGGAGAAGGACAUAUUGUUGUACAAUUUUCCGGAGUUUGCACAUCAGCUUGAAGCACGUUCAAUGCCCAAUUAAGGUGAAAUAACUUGCCUUUCCUCACAACGUUUCGAAGCAGGUGAAAUUCAACUUGAUGACAUCUCUGCACCGUAUUUUGAAAAAGAAAGGAAUAAAUAGAUGAUCCCUGCAAUGGCAAGGUUACAAUACAUAAACUUAUUUCCGUGUUUGAGAAUCACAAUACGAGUCAACUCGUGUUUCUCUACAGCCAAUCUUCUUCCGCCCUCCUGGACGUAUCAUGGCCGCCCACACGGUAAAUUCAAAACAUUUCGUGAGUACGGCCGACAAGAGAGGCGUACAUAUGCCUCGUUUUGGAAAAUUUACCAUCCAAAAAAGAAAUACACACAAUAGCGUUCCCGAUGAGUAAA